rnacentral:misc_RNA from 3 species
CGAGGUCAACCUUUGGAAAAUUGGGGGUUUUACGGCAAGAGUCCCUCCGGAUCCCAGUGCGAGACGUAAAGUUACUACGCAAAGGAGGCUCCGGGAGGGUCCGCCACUACCUUUGAGGGCCUACAUCAGCUGUAGGGCCCCAACACCAAGCAGAGCUUGAGGGUUGAAAUGACGCUCGAACAGGCAUGCCCGCCAGAAUGCUGGCGGGCGCAAUGUGCGUUCAAAGAUUCGAUGAUUCACUGAAUUCUGCAAUUCACAUUACUUAUCGCAUUUCGCUGCGUUCUUCAUCGAUGCCAGAACCAAGAGAUCCGUUGUUAAAAGUUUUGAUUAUUUGCUUGUACCACUCAGAAGAAACGUCGUUAAAUCAGAGUUUGGUUAUCCUCCGGCGGGCGCCGACCCGCCCGGGGGCGGGAGGCCGGGAGGGUCACGGAGACCCUACCCGCCGAAGCAACAGUUAUAGGUAUGUUCACAAAGGGUUAUAGAGCGUA